rnacentral:rRNA from 1 species
CCUACGGGUGGCAGCAGUAGGGAAUCUUCCACAAUGGACGAAAGUCUGAUGGAGCAACGCCGCGUGAGUGAAGAAGGGUUUCUGCUCGUAAAGCUCUGUUGGUAGUGAAGAAAGAUAGAGGUAGUAACUGGCCUUUAUUUGACGGUAAUUACUUAGAAAGUCACGGCUAACUACGUGCCAGCAGCCGCGGUAAUACGUAGGUGGCAAGCGUUGUCCGGAUUUAUUGGGCGUAAAGCGAGUGCAGGCGGUUCAAUAAGUCUGAUGUGAAAGCCUUCGGCUCAACCGGAGAAUUGCAUCAGAAACUGUUGGACUUGAGUGCAGAAGAGGAGAGUGGAACGCCAUGUGUAGCGGUGGAAUGCGUAGAUAUAUGGAAGAACACCAGUGGCGAAGGCGGCUCACUGGGCUGCAACUGACGCUGAGGCUCGAAAGCAUGGGUAGCGAACAGGAUUAGAUACCCUAGUAGUC